rnacentral:rRNA from 1 species
UACGUAGGUGGCAAGCGUUGUCCGGAUUUACUGGGCGUAAAGGGCGCGUAGGCGGUGCGGUAAGUCUGUAGUGAAAUCUCUGGGCUCAACUCAGAGUCUGCUGCAGAAACUGCCGUGCUUGAGUGUGGGAGAGGUGAGUGGAAUUCCCGGUGUAGCGGUGAAAUGCGUAGAGAUCGGGAGGAACACCCGUGGCGAAGGCGGCCAUCUGGACCAGCACUGACGCUGAGGCACGAAAGCGUGGGGAGCAAACAGG